UAUAGGUUUGGUCCUGGCCUCAGUAUUAAUUGUAACCAAAAUUAUACAUGCAAGUUUCAGCAUCCCUGUGAGAAUGCCCUAAUUACUCUAUCAAUUAAUUAGGAGCGGGUAUCAGGCACACGCACGUAGCCCAAGACACCUUGCUAAGCCACACCCCCAAGGGAUUUCAGCAGUAAUAAAUAUUGACACAUAAGCGUAAGCUUGAGUCAGUUAAAGUUAACAGAGUUGGUAAAUCUCGUGCCAGCCACCGCGGUUAUACGAGUAACUCAUAUUAAUACUUCCCGGCGUAAAGAGUGAUUUAAGGAAUAUCUACAAUAAUUAAAGUUAAGACCUCAUCAAGCUGUUAUACGCACCCAUAAACGGAAAUAUCAACAACGAAAGUGACUUUAUACCACUAGAAAUCUUGAUGUCACGACAGUUAGACCCCCAAACUAGGAUUAGAUACCCUACUAUGUCUAACCAUAAACUUAAACAAUAAUUCACUAUAUUGUUCGCCAGAGAACUACAAGCGCUAGCUUGAAACCCAAAGGACUUGGCGGUGUCCCAAACCCACCUAGAGGAGCCUGUUCUGUAACCGAUAACCCCCGUUAAACCUCACCACUUCUAGCCAUCCCCGUCUAUAUACCGCCGUCGUCAGCUCACCCUGUGAAGGUCUAAAAGUAAGCAAAAAGAACUAACUUCCAUACGUCAGGUCGAGGUGUAGCAAAUGAAGUGGAUAGAAAUGGGCUACAUUUUCUAUAAAGAAAACACGGAUGGUAAACUGAAAAAUUACCUAAAGGUGGAUUUAGCAGUAAGAAAAGAUUAGAGAGCUUUUCUGAAACUGGCUCUGGGACGCGCACACACCGCCCGUCACUCUCCUCGAAAAAAAUCUACUUAUUUUUAAUUAAAAGAAUAUCACCAAGAGGAGGCAAGUCGUAACAUGGUAAGUGUACUGGAAAGUGCACUUGGAAUCAA
rnacentral:ncRNA from 1 species